AUUGAACGCUGGCGGCAUGCUUUACACAUGCAAGUCGAACGGCAGCGCGGGCUUCGGCCUGGCGGCGAGUGGCGAAAGGGUGAGUAAUACAUCGGAACGUGCUCAGCAGUGGGGGAUAGUACGGCGAAAGCCGGAUUAAUACCGCCUACUACCUGCGGGUGAAAGCGGGGGGGGGAAAGGACUCGCGCUAUUGGAGGGGCCGACGUCGGAUUUGCUAGUUUGUGGGGUAAGGGCUUACCAAGGCGGCGAUCCGUAGGUGGUCUGAGAGGACGAGAGGCCACACGGGGAGUGAGACACGGACCAGACUCCUACGAGAGGCAGCAGUGGGGAAUUGUGGACAAUGGGGGCAGCCCUGAUCCAGCCAGGGCGCGUGCGAGAAGAAGGCCUUCGGGUUGUAAAGCGGUUUUGUGCGGUAAGAAAUCCUUUGGGCUAAUACCCCGGGGGGAUGACGGUACCGGAAGAAUAAGCACCGGCUAACUACGUG
rnacentral:rRNA from 1 species